UUUGAUGUUUCCAUUUUAAUUUUCAAAAAAUAGGUACAUAGAAUAGAUUCUUCGUUAAGAAUUAAACAAUGCAUGUAUAUGUUGGCUUUAUUAUAUAGUAAUAUAUAAUUACUACUGCUCUAUAUACUAGUUUUCGACUUGGAUUCCUCCUUUUUUUCACCUUACAAUGUUUUCAAACAAUUAAAAUAUAUAUAAAAAAAUCUUCCACUAUUAGGAUAUGCGAUAAAUCAUUUCUGGUAUAUCAACAAUCCACUAAUAAUCUGCUACUCAUCUAAACAUCCCUGGAUUAACCACAGGUGGAACAAAUCGUGCUGCCAUUUGGCUUGCUAUUCUUCUUUGUUUUUUCUUAUUUGCUUUCCAUCCU
rnacentral:lncRNA from 1 species